rnacentral:rRNA from 1 species
UACAGAGGUCUCAAGCGUUGUUCGGAUUUAUUGGGCGUAAAGCGUGCGUAGGCGGCGGGGUAAGUGAGGUGUGAAAUCCCGGACGCUUAACUCCGGAACUGCACUUUAUACUGCCUUGCUCGAGGGCUGGAGAGGAGACUGGAAUUUACGGUGUAGCAGUGAAAUGCGUAGAGAUCGUAAGGAAGACCAGUGGCGAAGGCGAGUGCUCGUGGAAAG